GAGAAAGAAAUAGAGACAUGAGAGAGGAAGAGACUAGCAAUAAAAUAAUUGCAGAAAAUCUCCCAGGACAGACAGACAUCAACUUGAAGAUUAAACAGAUUUAUCAAAUGCCCAGCAGAGUAGGUAAAAUAAUCCAUACCAAUGUACAUCAUGGUAAGAUUUUAGAACACCAAGAACAAAGAUAAGUUUUUAAAAUAUUCUGGCGAUUUUUAAAAAGGAACACCUACGAAGAACCAGGAAGCAGAGAAAGCUUUGAAUUUUUAAUAGCAACGCUGAUACUAUCAGACAUUGGAGUAAUACCUCCAAAAGUCUGAAGGAAAGUAAUUUCAGCCCAUAGUUCUACAUCCAGCCAAAUUGCCAAUCAACUAGAAAUGUAGAAAAAAGAAUACUUUCAGAUGUAAUAAUUCAAAAAUGUUAUUUUCCUAUCAUUUUUCUCAGGAUCCAGUACUGGAAAGGCAAGGGGAAUUUCUAGAAUGGUGAUCAUGGUUCAAGUGGAUCCCAGAAUGAGUGUUGUCUAUCAGGCACACAUUAGAGCAGGAUGGAAAUUUUGUGGCCAUAAAGAGAGCACAUCUGCCGGGCGCGGUGGCUCAAGCCUGUAAUCCCAGCACUUUGGGAGGCAGAGACGGGUGGAUCACAACGUCAGGAGAUCGAGACCAUCCUGCCUAACACGGUGAAACCCCGUCUCUACUAAAAAAUACAAAAAACUAGCCGGGCGAGGUGGCGGGCGCCUGUAGUCCCAGCUACUCGGGAGGCUGAGGCAGGAGAAUGGCGUGAACCCGGGAGGCGGAGCUUGCAGUGAGCUGAGAUCCGGCCACUGCACUCCAGCCUGGGCGACAGAGCAAGACUCCGUCUCAAAAAAAAAAAAAAAAAAAAAAAAGAGAGUCAACUGAUUAUUUACUUUAAAGUUCACCUGUUCUACAACAAACCAGUCAGUUUUAUAAAUCAGUGUUUCUUCAGCAUUAGUGUGAAUUCAAAGUCUGGGGUUCUUAACAAAUUUCAAGUGCUGAUUUCAAGGGGUCUGGGCAGGACUGAAAAUUCUGCUUUUCUAACAAACCCCCAGGUGAGGUCAUGUUGCUGGUCCCUGGAAUACACUUUGAGCAGUAAGGUCAUGGAUAGCAAUUGCACUUAUGUCCCCUUCCAUCUCUUGCAAUCACAGCUCUACACACAUGGAGUAUAUGAAGCUGUGAUUCCAAGUACUUCUGUGCUAGUUAAAACUGGUACUGUUCUAUCCAACAACACUAAGUACAAAAUCUUACCGCUUUUGUCAAAGUAAAAAAUGUUUCCAGGAAAAAAGAAAAAAGCCUUUUAAGUUUGGAUGAACCUUUAUUUCUAAUUAUAUGGCUUUCAAAAAGAAAGCCUUAAGGGUAGGAUUAGUUUUAUAUUCAUCAACUGCUUUCACUCAAGGAAAAUUAAGGGUUGCCUGAGUUUGACAGGUACUUAAUUGUACCAUAACAAAAAAAGGGCUUGAUUUUCCCCCCAGUCCACUAUAAUUAAAUCCUUGCAUAUUCUUCAGCUUGUGAAGGGUUGCAUGGGAAAGCCAAAUUUUUUAAUGUUGGAGGUUUCUUAUAAGUUUAAUUAAUAAAAUGAAUCAAAUCAUUUUGUUUGGAAAUAAACAUAUCAGCCCCCGGAUGAGAAAAAUCAAUGCAUGGGUACAAAAAGGGAGUGCUUUUUAACUCUUAUAAUUUGCAUAAUUUCAACUCUGCCUAAUUUGCCACUUUUUGUUUGCCCUAGCUUGUUAAAUGAGCAAAAGUUAUUACAUCUUAACAGAUUGAUCCACUCUUGUCAAAACAUUAUUCAAUGCAGGCCUUCCCAGAAAGAGAGGAGUCUUUCCUGGAAGGUUAUUUAGUAGUUUCAAGAAAAU
ensembl:lncRNA